UUGUGUGGUAAGAAAUCAUCUGCUUUAUCUUCAUCGUGGGUUUUCUUUUGAUUCUCCGGUUAGGCUUUCCCUAAAUGAGAUUUAAUUGUUGUGGUUUUUUGUCUUAGCUGAAGGUCAGGAUCUUCAGUUGAUGAUCAUCGCUAGGUUCAAUCGUUGCUUCUGUGGCUGUGAUGAUUUGAUUAAUUUGAAGCUUAUUAUCGCUAAUUUUUUUGAUGACGACUUUUGAGAUUUAAUCAUGGUUUUUUUUUGGCGGUAUUUUGAAGGAUUGAACGGGAAGGAUACCAGUUUUUGCACUAGAUUCGGUUUGUUUAUGUGGUAAUGUCUGCAUCAUUCCAAUUAUCGGACAAAUUUGACAUCAAUUUUCCUUCAAAAUUGGCCCUGUUUUGGUUCAAAAUUAGCCCCAUUUUGGUUCUUCUUGCUGUGCUUCUUGUAGAAUGAUGGAUUUCGGGCGGAUGCAGUGGGAAGGAACUCUCUGUUGGAUGGAUGUGAGCGUAAUCUGAAUCUGGAGUUUUUAUUUAAUCCAUAUCUGUGGCUGUUAUUGUUGUUGCGAAUGCUGUAGGCGGUGCUCUGGACUUUCGGUAGUUUUGGUGUGGUGUCUAUCGAGGAUUGAUGAGGAAGAUUGAGUUUUUACUAUUGUUGGGUUUGUUAAUUAGUAAUUUCUCGAUCGUUUUUUGUUAUCAAGAUUCGUCUUUUCUUUUUCUGGUUCUUUUGAUGUUCUCGUUGUGGCGUGGCAGAAUCCUAGUCUUCGGUGGGGCUAAAAAAGACUUUCUGGAUGCGCAUAUUAUACUACGACACCGGGAGUUUUUCCCUCGUCCCUUUUUCCGGUUUCCUUUUUUAUUUCCUGAAAAAAUUAACUGGGGAGUCAAUUAGUAACUGGCCUUAUCUGUUGUAUUGAUUUAGGGGAGCUUGGAUGCAAGAGGGUCUGGUCAUGUUACCCUGCUAUACUGGUUUGCAAGAUUCCUGAGAAUUUUUCUCUGUCCUUACUUGUUUUCAGCUGUUCUGUUUGACUGGGAGGUUUCUGGCUAUAGAAGCUGAUUUGCUCUGUGAGACAGAUGUGUUCGUUUUCUGAUCUCCUGCAUUACUUUGUGUUGUGCAAUAUAGGGUUUCAGUGGUUCGGAGUUGUUGUGACAACUGAGCCAGCCUUCCUCGGAUGGUAAACUGUUUUGGAGGGAGUUAUCUUCUUACAAACAAUCUUGUGCUUUUGUCACCUUUUGAUAUCUGCAGACCUUUUUUUCCCAGGACAAACACCAUUGAAAUAGCUUUCAACCUCUUCAUUCAAUUUGCCUGCACCUAUUUUGCUGCUUCUUCGUCAGUUAUCUUUGCCCAUUUGUUCUCUUUAGGCUUUUGAAUUUAUUUUGGUUCCAUGCCUUCUGUAUCUUUGGGAAUGGUUCUCAGAUGCUUAGGAUUGUAUCAAUAUGGCAAUAUGGAUGUUGUCAAGUAUUUCUUAGUUUUUAAAUUCUGGUGCUUUUGAUGUGAUCUUAGAAUGAUGGAGUUCUGUGUAUGAAAGUAAAAAGAGCUCUUCCUGGAUGGAUGGAAGCAAAAGAGCUCUUCUUGGAUGGAUGAAGGUGAUAAAUCGGGAGUUCUCUUCUACCAAUCAAUUCUUUGUUUGUGUUCUUUGCCUAAAAAUCACUGGCGAUCGUUGGUAAUGGCUUAACUAUUGUCUUCAUUUUAGGGAAGUUUGGAUCAGAGCAUUCUCAUCAUGUUUGUUACCCUGCUAUUCGGGCUUAACAAGAUUUUGGAGGACCUCUCUUUCCCUGCUUGUUUUCUGCUGUUUUGUUGAAGUUGAUUAGGACGUUUGUGAAUUUGCUCUGCUUGUUCUCUAAUUUCCUAUAUUACUAGGGUGUUGCAACUUAUUGUUCCAGUGAAGUGAUUCGUGAUUCAAACUUGCCUUUCCAUCAUCGGAACAAGGGCUUGUAAAAUUUUUUGGAGGGAGUUAUUUUCUGACUGACGCUAGUUGUUCUUUUGUGCUUGAGGAAUUUAGGAGUUUUGACACCUUAUUUAUAAUAUAAUUUGUCUGUGAAUCUUUUUGGUCUGCAGCAUGUCAUGCAGAGUCAACUUUCCUGAUCCACUAUGAAUGAAUAGAACGGGUUGUAACCAAGUGCAUAUCUUUGCUAUUCAACAGUUUAUUUCGGGAAAAACUGUCUAUGAAUGCUUUCAACCUACCUAUUCAAUUCACCUAAGGUUAGCAUUUUUUUGGCUUUUGGAUUUGAUGGACUAGUUUAAUCCGGGGCUUUUCUUUGGGGAUGGUUCCGUGCUACUCAGUAUAUAACAGGAAGUAGAUUCCGUCAUCAAACAUUCUUGUAUGGGUGGGGGGUUCCUGGUAUUUUGCUUAUUCAGCUGGAUCUGAAGAAGAGUUAAGGCUAUGCAUAUUGGUUUGAUCGAAUGGUAAAUUGUUGACAGUUUUUAUUUGAGGAUUAUUCUCAUCUUUGCGCCAAGUCUUCUGAUCCAUUCCUUUACUGAGGGUGGUGACGGAGCAUGGGCUUUUGGAUGCCAUUCUUCUUAGAAUUAUGGGGUGCGAUUCUUCUUGGAAUUAUGCAAUGGAUGUGAAUGUGAUCCUUAAUUUUGCUUUCUGCUUUAUUUUUGCAUUGUUGUAGGCAGUUGUUCUGGUUUUUCAGCUGUCUCCCUAUAGAGUUGAUUGUAGAAGGACUUGACGCUAAUUACUAUGUUUUGUUGUUGGUGGUUUUUCAAGAUUUGUCUUUUCUUCUUCUGGUUUUUUUGAUGUCGUCUUUCAAGAAUAGUGGAUUUCUGGUGCGUGGAGGCUAGAAAAGCUCUCUCUUGGAUGGAUGUGAAUAAAAUUGGGAGAUUUUCUUUUCAAUAUGGUCUUUCUUUGUUCUCUUUGCCUGAAAAAAUCACGGGGGCGGUUGGUGAUGGCUUCUGUCUGUUGUCUUGAUUUUAGGGAAGCUUGUUGCAGGAGUGUUGGUGUGUUUAAUACCCAGCUAACCGGAUUUGUAACAAGAUUUUGGAUAAGCUCUCUCUUUCCCUACUCUUAUGUUUUUUGGCUGUUUCUUUAAAAAUGAUUUUCUUUACUUGUUCUCUAAUUUACUAUAUCAUUUUGUGUCAAAUCUAGGAUUUUGGUGAUUCAGAGGUGUGGCCAAACCUUAGGUCUCUGUCCUCAGAUCAAAGGCUAGUACAUUAUUAUAGAGGGGUUUAUCUUCUUACCUAUGCUUAUCAAUUUUUUUUUUUUUGCUUGAGCAUUUUACAGGUUUUAGUACGUUUUGAUGUCUGCAGACUAUUAUAAAUAUAAUCUAAUUUUUUUUGUAAAUUUUUUCCUUCACAGUCCAUCAUGAUUGUAGAAAUGCCCUAUGCAUCAUUUGUUUGGUCAGUAAUUGCUUGGAAGUCGUGUAUUUCUGACCCUCAAGGAAAAGGUAUCGCUGGGAUUAUCCCAGCGAUUAAUGGUUGGACACCUUCGACCUGCCCAUUCAAUUCACAUGCACCCAUUUUGUUGCUUAUCCCAUGCCUUUUCUACCUCUGGCGAAUGGUUUUCAGGUGCUUAGGAUCUUACCAGUUUGGCGAUUUUGAUCUUCUGAAGUAUUUCUUAGUGCUCAAAUUCUGCCACUAAACAUGUUUUUUUAAGGUAGUUUCUGGUGUUUUGGUGGUUCAUCAUGAUCUGAAGUUUAUGCUUGUUAUAUGAAUGGUGUUGGUGUUAUGGUAGGUGAUCUAAAUUUGUAAAAAGUUGGUAUUAUUGGUUCAUUCCAUUGUCAGUUCUCAUCUUUGUGCCUAAUUUCAAAUUUUUGUUGGCUUUUUUGUGUUGCUUGCCGAACUCAUGGUCAAAGGGAGGUCUGUGCGAUGUGUCUCUUUGUGAAUAAAUUGGAUGGGUUUGAACAUAAUGUAAAAUCUGGAGCUUUUAUUUGGACCUGCAGGUGGUGUAUUUGUUGUUGCUCUAGGUGGUGGUGCUAGAGGUGGUGGCUCUGAGUUUCCAGAAGUUUCUCUGUGGUGUUGAUUAAGAAUUGAUCAUGAAGGCCUACACUUUCUUGCAGUUUUGCAGUAUGUUGAGUACUUUGUGAAUGGUACUCUUUUUUUUUUUUUUUCUAAAGAUUGUCUCUUCUUUUCUGGUUCUUUUGGUGUGGUGGUCUUAGAAUGGAGGAGUUCUGCAUGGGCAAAAAGAGCUCUCUUCUCUUGGAUGGAUGGAUGUGGUAAAUCAGGAGUUCUCUUGUUUGUUCUGUUUGCCUAAAAAUCACUGGUGUUUAUUGGUAAUGGCUUCUCUCUGUUUUCUUCAUUUUAGGAUAGCUUGGAUCAAAGCAUUCUUAUCAUGUUUGCUACCGUGGUAUUCUGGGUGAAAAAAUUUUGGAGGAGCUCUCUCUUUCCCUACUUGUUUUCUGUUGUUUUCCUUGAAAUUGAUUGAGAGAUCUCUGGAUGGUAGAUUUGCUGUCUCUUUUCUAAUUUCCUAUAUUACUAGGGCUUCGGUGAAGUUGGUUCAACUUACCUCUCCAUUUUCGGAUUGAGGGCUAGUAAACUUUUUUGGAGGGAGUUAUUUUCUCGCCUAUACUAAUUUAUCUUUUGUGCAUGAGGAAUAUAGGGGUUUUGACACUUUAUUUAUAAUUUUUCUGUUAAUCUUUACUUAUACCGUCUCCAUUAUUUGGUCUGGCAGUAAUUCCUGCAGAGUUGACUCUCUUGAUCCAUGAGAAAUAGAUUGAGGUAUAACCAAGAGUGUCUCUGCUUAUUGUCAACUUGUUUAUUUCUAAACCAUCUAUGAAUUGCCUUCUGUCCAUUCAAAUUCACCUAAGUUAUCGUACCCAAUUUUUCUUUUCUUGGCUUUCGUAUUUUGAUGGAUUAGCUUAGUCCAGGACUUUUCUUUGGGGAUGGCUCUGCAGUGCCUGGUAUCUAACGGGAAUUAAAUUCUGUCAUCUAACAUGUCUGUAUAGGUAGGGCUCUUUGGUGUCGCUGAUUCAUCAUGGUCUGAUGAAGAAUGAAUGCUACAUUUAUCAGUUCUGAUAAUAUGGUAGAUGAUCUACAAUUUUUAUUUCAUCUUUGUGCCAAGUUCAAGUCUCUGUUUGGCUAUUCAUGUUUUCACUCGCAGAAUUCUGCUGAGGGUGGUGACUGACUGGGGGCUUUUGGAUGUGUUGAUUCUUAACAAUUAUUGGAUGGAUGUGAACGUAAUCUGUAAUCUGGAGUUUUGCUUUCUGUGUCAUUGUUGCAUUGCUAUAGGCAGUUGCAUUACUGUUUGCUUCGAUCUUUGUGAUGUUUCAAGAUUUCGUUUCUUCUCUGGUUCUUUUGAUGUCGUCUUUCAAGAAUAGUGGACUUCUGGCGUGCGGAGGGUAGAAGGCUUUCUUUUGGAUGGAUGUGAAUUAAAUCGGGAGUUUUUCUUGCCAACGUGUUUGUUCUCUUUCCUGGAAAAUUCACUGGGGGUACUUGGUGAUGGUUGCUAUCUGUUGUCUUGAUUUUAGGGAAGCUUGAACCGGGAGUAUUGGCCAUGUUUGGUAUCCUGCUAUUUGGUUUUGUGAUGAGAUCUUGGAUGAGCUUUUCUUUUUCCCUACCCUUUCUUUUUCUAUUUUUUUGUUCAUUUUCUUGAAAAAUGAUUUUCUUUCUGUGUGCUUUAAUUUAUUAUAUUAUUUUGUGUUAGUGUCUAGGAUUCCCAUGACUUGGAGGUUUGGUGAAGACUUAAGGUCUCUAUUGUCAGAUCAAAGGCUAGUAUAUUGUUUUGGAGGGGGGCUGUCUUCUUACCUACUCUUCAGCGUCACGAUCUAGCCACAUGAAACCUCAGUCUGAACAGUCACCCCUAUUGGAUUUGCCUUAGAUGAGGGCUAGCAUUUGUGUGAAUGCGAAGUCAGCACAGUAAUAUGAGGCACGGAUCAAAAUAUGCGCAAUGUCAGUCCCACGCAAAAAGAUGUGGAAGAAUGCUUUGAUAGUUGCUGCAGUGAAAACCUGUUGUUUCCCGAGAUGUAGAGAAGUAUGUGAAUUUUGCUUGUAGCAUAGUGGCCUUACCAUUCCUUUCUGCUUGAGGAUGUUACGGGCUUUGGUACUUCUGAUGUCUAUAAUUUAAAUUUAAUUUAAAAUUUUCAUGAUCCCUUUCUUCUGCAGUCCACUAUGUUUAUGGAAAUACCUUAUGCAUCAAUCAUUCUGGCAGUAAUCACUUGGAAGUCCAUGUUCCUGAUCCUCAUUUAAGAGAGCAGCGAUUUGCGUAUCACUGCUUAAUCCCAACUGUUAAUUGUGCUGUGACCUGCCCAUUUAAUUCACUUGCACCUAUUUUGCUUCCCCAUUAAUGUGCGAUUAGCUUAAUCCCAGGCACUUUCUUUCUUUGGGGAUUGUUUUCUUGUAAGCUAUCUAAUUCUGCCAUUGAACAUGUAUGUAUAGCCGGUUCCUGGUGUUCAUCAUGAUCUGAAAAGAAUUAACAUUAUGCUUGGUAUAUUAAUUAGUUUUGAUGGUGUGUAUAUAAUCUAAAUUUCUGGAUGGUUGGGGACUAAUGGACAGCUCUGAUAUUGGUUUCCAUCUUGGUGUCGAGUUUUAAGUUGGGUUCUGAUGUCCUGGUACUUCCUUGUAGAACUCUAUAGUCCUAGCGAGAGGAUUGUGAAGACAGAGAGGUCUCUUGGAUGAUGAUGUUAUUCAGAUAUCCACGAUACUGUGGUUUGAAUCAUGGAAUCUCUCCAUUCCAUCCUGUUAUUGUGUUUGUCGAAAACAUCACAUGCAUUAGUCAGGCUUUAUAAUUCGUUUAAUUCUGCAGAUUGGAUUUAGAGUUUGGUCAUGGUUUGAUUCUUAAGUAACAGGUUCAAGAUAAAUGUUUUAGGCCUUAUGGAAUUGGGUAGCACGGUGGGAUGAUGUUUUUAGCUUUUGAUGGAUGAAUUCUGAAUUAGUCAUGAUGGUCGUUCAGCUAUGCUGUUUUCAGCGUUUUUACUAUUGAGUUCAUGAGUAAGUAUUCGAAAGGAUAAAGGGUGCAUAGAAAUAUUUGGUUUGUCAUGUUCUUCAGGGUCCAGUACAAGUGUUUGGAAAAUCCUGACAUCAAUUAGCGUCAUCAUCUGUCAAAACACUCUUUGUCGCUAUUUGAUGUUUUUGCUGUAGACUGACGGGGUGAAUUAUCAGAAUUCGGGGAUGCAAAGAAGAACUUUAUUGGAGGGAUGGGAAAAUUUAUGGUUCACCAUGAUCCUGAUUGAUUUUGCAUAUGCUGAAUGUGAUUGUUGCUGGGCUUAUUAUUGACUUAUCUGGUUUCCAUUUAGGGAGCUUGAAUUCAAGAAUCUCUGGUCAUUUUGUUACCUUUUGUUACCUGGUAUUGUGGUCUACAUGAUUUCAAAGGAGUUCCUCACUCGUGGUUGUGCCUGGUUUUCUUUGUACAGCACUGUUUUUUUUAAGUUAUGGCAUUCAAUUUCAGGAAGAGCUGGGAGUUGAACUGGGAUGAAUGUUUUCAAGCCUGAAUUUCUGCAUUUACUAACCCAUUCUGCUUGCAUACUACUGAUUGCCAUGAAAUCGAAACAGACAUAGACGUUUCUUAUCCUGAUCAUUUGUAAUGGAUAUGAGUGCAAUUGCAGUGUCAUUUUGUUUGUCCAGGUUUAUUCAUGACGGUGUCGUCAAUAUACUUUGAAGUUUGCAAAUUCUGCUUCGAUAGCAUGAGAGGAGAUUUGGUGGUGUCUAGCAAAAUUUUGGAUAUUCUGUAGCAAGCAUGCUUAUUCCAGUGAAUUUGAGAUAUCUUUACCUCAACCAGUUCUUGAGUUUAAUAUCCAGAAAUUGGGAUUUCUGUUUCUGUUUCUCCUUUCAAGUCAUAUAGAUUGUUGAUGUGGCGCUUCCCAGUGUACCUGGAAUUUGAUUGACAACUUUGAUAUUAUUUGAAUGUGGAAAGAAACUUCUGAUAAUGGGGUGCGGCCUAAGAUGUAACUCAGUAUGGAUUAUGGUCAUGGUCAAGUUGGUGGUAUAUUUCUUGCUUGUAUCGUUCUUGGGCUUUUGGUGUGUUGUAACUGGCAAGUCCAUUAUUAUAGAAGAGGGUCAGAAAACCGUAGUCCUCCUCUAUCACCAUUGAAUACUUGCUGAUAGCCUUCAUUAUCUACAAUUGAAUGGAAGAAAACAUUUGGUUAUUCUCACUUUGUAAGCAGAUGCUGGUUCAGUCAGGUUAGAACAGAUGCAUUCAAUAUCUGUUUUGGUAGUCAUCGACUUACAUACCACUGGUACCGCUACUGGUAUUGUUCAGUCAUGUAAGGACAAAUGCAUCCAAUAUCUGUUUUCAUAGUCAUCAACUGACACGGGUACUGGUAUUGUUUGUGAAUUUCAUUUCAUACUUGAAUUUUGGGAUCCCCUGGUAUUGUUAGUAUGCAAUUUUAAAGUGCAAGUAACUGAAUUUUGUUUUGUUUCCUUUUUUAAAGGAAGAAGUUAGUGGACAAUAUUUGCUUAUGACCUUAACAGACAUGGUGUGGCAUUAAGAGGUCCAAUCUAAGAUCUGCAGUAGUUGUAUGCAUUGCUGUUUUGGGAGGUGGUUAGAACCAUUUGUAAAUGAUUGACAAAUUGAGAGGAAUCCAAAUGCCUUGUUUUCAAGUGUUGAAAAUCAUUAAUUUCUUUGAAGUGCGUACGACUUUGAGGUUGAUUUCGUUGGAUUCUUGAAAUGAAAGAGUUCCAGGGCAACUUAGUCAUUUGUUGUUGUUGAUUUACCUGUGCAGCUUAAGCCCCUUGAGUGUUAUAGAAUUGUCGCAUAAUAUUUGUUUCACACACUGGUUGAUCUCCUAUUUGGAAGUUCAUAACUGAUGGUGAUAACUUAGUUGAUUUAUCGGUUAAGUCCUGCAGUUAUUCUAAGGGUGAGAUUUGGUAUGAAAAUAAGUGAAGAAAGUGUGGGGGUAAUCGUGGUAUAUGUUUGGCGAGUCGCUUUGUGAUAUUAGUGGUAAAUUUAAGGUUGUCUAAUGGGAUUCAAGGCCGUGGACACACACCCACACACACACACCCCCUCCCGGGCCCCUCUUUCUUUCAAAAAAAUAAAACCCAAUAUAAAAAAAGCUUAUUAUCAGGAGAAGGUGAGAUUUGGUAUGAAAACAAGUGAAGAAAGUGUGGUAAUCGUGGUAUAUGUUUGGUGAGUCACUUGAUUUGUGAUAUUAGUGGUAAAUUUAAGGUUGUCUGAUGGGAUUCAAGGCCCACACACACACACACAAACCCAAUCCCCCCCCCCCCCAAAAAAAAAAAACCAAAAACUCAAAAAAAAAAAAGAGCGUAUUAUCAAGGAAAGGUGUGCUAUUCGUGCGGUUCUUUUGUACUCUGGUAUAGAUUGCUGCAGAUGACCAAUGAUUAUUGAUGCAUAAGUUUAUUUUGCUAUUCGUGUUAAAACUGAAUAAUUGAGAUUGCUGUGAGACGUUUGUAGCUUGCCUAUUGGUGGGGAUAGCUAGGUGAUACCCUCGGCCUGUUGGUCUUUUUUGACCGCGCUGCAUAUGAGUUGGAUUUUUCUUUGUUUUGUUGGAGAUGCAUCUGUGGCAGCACUUUCUUGUCUGUGGUUUUUGAUUGCGGCUUGCUUGUAUCCUUAUGUUGUUUUGUUUGGUAGGAUGCUUGUAAUUCUGCCUGUCACAUCAGACAGCCGGUCCCAAGCCCGGCAAAAAGAGGAGGGAAAGCAUGAUCUUAUGUGAGAUAGGUCAUUACUAAAUAUUCAUUACUAUGGUUCUUCCAAGUCUUACUAAUAGAUUACAAUGUCUUGCUGUUGUGUGAUCUGGGAAAUACUUGCUGAUGUUCUCUCCUUGGAAGGAUGUAUUUUCCUCCUCUCUUCAUUUGGUGGAUUUGUGAAUGGCUGGGGCUCCAUUCAUACGUACAAUUUCUGCCUUUUUAGAGUUGGUGAUCAGUACAGAAUGUUUCAAUGGCUUUGUUUUAUCGGUCCGUUAUCUUGUUAGAUGGGUUAUUUUUUAAAGGCUUAGGCGAGGCAAGAACUUGAAGCAAUGGCUUGUGUUGUUUUUGUUGGGGGAAGUGAAAACCAUUUUUAACUCCAAAGCUUGUAUGGUGACAUAUAGUUUAGUUUCUAAUGCAAAUUACUAUUUGUUUUUAAUCGAAACAAUUUCUUCUUGGAUGGUUCUUGAAGAUCUAUGUGGAUGCGAAUGCCUUUUUAAACAUCUUAUCUUCCAUUCAUGCUUUUAUCUGAUCGUGUAAAGAUGUUGGAUCCCUUCUAAUUUCUACAGGACGACCCCAAAAGAAAGUGGACGAAUGUUGUACUAAUGCAAAUUACUAUCUGGUUAGCAGACAAAAUAUAUGAUAUGCCAGUCAUCAAGUUGAAGACAAUGCAGAUUAUGGGCUUUCAUUACUAAGGAUCUUGCAACCUUAACCGCCUGGAUUACAGGGAAAGACUUGCACAUAUAUAAGAUGUCUUCUAUUAUAGAGUGAAUAUGUGAAGGACAAUUCUCUGGUUUAGCUGGAGAAUGAAGUAGCAGGAGAGAAUCAGCUCUGACUUGAGCAGAAUGGCAGGGGAUGGUGCAAAGAUGUUUAAGAGCCCGCAAACAUGCUAGAACCUCAGUCUGCAAAGCUGUCAAAGCGUGAAUUUGGAUGGAAUGCUGAAAGAUCAAUUUGCCAGUGUUAUCUUCAACAACCCAUGCUAUGGCUGCAUUAUGCGUAUGAUCGCUUACUUGAAAGAUUGCAUUAUUCGAAUCUUAGGCAGCUCAUGCUUUUCUUGUGUAUGCCAUUUUGCUCUUUUUCUUUUUUUAUUAUUUUUGUUUUUGUAUUUGACUUAUUUCGGAAGUUGUUUAUUUGUUCGCAUAAUUUUACCAUAGAGGCUUCAGUCAACAUUGUGGUAGUGUCCUAAUUUUUCAUUUACAGGAACGCUACUAUUGUCACACAAGAUUUGUAGAAAUCAGAGGUUUAGUAUUACUAACAAAAGUAUCCGAUUGUUGAAUUUC